ACGAGCCCCAGCUUAAAACUCAAAGGACUUGACGGUGCCCUAACCAACUAGAGGAGCCUGUUCUAUAAUCGAUAAUCCACGAUCCACCUAACCAUUUCUUGCUUUAUCAGCCUGUAUACCUCCGUCGUAAGCUAACCAUUUGAAUGCAAAUAGUAUGCUCAAAGGCCUCCGCCAAAACGUCAGGUCAAGGUGCAGCUCACGAAAUGGAAGAAAUGGGCUACAAUCUCUAAACUAGAACAAACGAAAUAUCUAAUGAAACACAAUAUGAAGGAGGAUUUAGCAGUAAAUAAGGAACAACUAGCCUUAUUAAAUUCGGCCAUAGGGUGUGUACACACC
rnacentral:rRNA from 1 species